rnacentral:lncRNA from 1 species
UGUUAGCAUUUUCACAAACAUUUUCCCAAAGGAGUUAGCCUCUCAAACUUGCCACGCCACUCGAUCCUAACACGUAUGCAAAGUUAGAUCACUCAAGUGGCACUAGAUGACCGAUAUGCAAACAAGUUUGCCCCUCUUGAUAGUACGGCCAUCUAUCCUAAAUCCGGUCAUAAACUUCUCUACACACCUAUGACCGGUGAAAUGGAAAUGCCCUAGGUUAUACCUUUGCCUUGCGCUUUCCAUUCCAUCUCCUCCAAUGUUGAUGCAACACAUGCACCAACCAAUCACCAAAUGAUAUGAUCCACUUCAUAUCAUCACGUGACUGUAUUGGUUCAUCGAUCUUGACCUCACUUGCUCUUCACCAUUGCCUCGGUCCAUCGGUGCCAAGUCUUGCUCAAGCUUCACCGUCACACGCGGUCCCUCGCUUCAAAGCCUCCAACUUGCCCUUCACUCUUGCAACCGGUCCAUCAAGCCAAGCCUCAUCUUGAUCUUCUCCACCUUGGUCACAUGACUCCAUGUCAUGUCUCAUAUGCAAUGAGCUCCUCCAUCAU